rnacentral:rRNA from 1 species
AGAGAUGUGUGAUGACGCAUAUCAAUAAGCGGAGGAAAAGAAACUAACAAGGAUUCCCUUAGUAACGGCGAGUGAAGCGGGAAGAGCUCAAAUUUGAAAUCUUCAAGGUUCUACCUUGACGAAUUGUAGUUUAUAGAAGUGUUUUCUGUUAGUAGAGUGGCAAAAGUUCUUUGGAAUAGGACAUCAUAGAGGGUGAGAAUCCCGUAUUUGGUCAUUCCUCCUAGCGUUGUGAUACACUUUCAACGAGUCGGAUUGUUUGGGAAUGCAGUCCAAAAUGGGUGGUAAAUUUCAUCUAAAGCUAAAUAUUGGCGAGAGACCGAUAGCGAACAAGUACCGUGAGGGAAAGAUGAAAAGAACUUUGAAAAGAGAGUUAAACAGUACGUGAAAUUGUCAAAAGGGAAGCGUUUGACACCAGUGUUGUUUUUCCGAAAAUCAAUUACGAAUGUUUUAUUUUUGAGAAGUUAUGACUUCAUCGGCUUGCUUCUCUCUUUAUGAAACUUUCUUAAUGCACUUUUCGGUUAACAAGUCAACAUCAAUUUCUUUUGUUGUAAAAGGGUAUGAGGAAGGUGGCUUUCUUUUCGGAGAAAGUGUUUAUAGCCUUGUACCUCUGCAAUCGGAGAGAUUGAGGUCUGCAGCGUAGAUCCUUCGGGGUUAGAUACAUUUGUGCUAAGUUAUAGCUUUUCAUAGACAACUUGUUGACUAUGUUUAGUCUUGUAGCUUACUCGCUUAUGCUAUUUUACCUACGCUUAGGAUGUUGAAGAUGUAGCACAUCAU